rnacentral:tRNA from 1 species
ACGGGUGUAGUCUAUGGGUAGGACACAAGGCUGUGGCCCUUGAGAACCGAGUUCAAGUCUCGGCAUCCGUC